CAGGAAGUAAACCUUUUAACGGGAAGCGUUGUAUUUAGCCAGCUAGAUUCUACAGAAGCCGUUACAAAAAUGGAUGAGUCGUUUCACCUAGGUGACAGUGGAUUUCCAAAGAAUACUGCAAAAACCGGCAGAAGGGCUCGCCAAGCAGUUGAUAUGACGUCCACAGAAGACUCGCAACAUGCUGGGAAGUUGUCCACUACUGUCACCGCUAUAACUGGCGAGGAGGAAGAUGAUACGGGACCCCCUCCUAAGCCACCUCGCAGACAGGGAGGCUGGGCUGAGGAGACCACCGGGACUGGUUCUGCCAGGUCUGGAAGAAGACAAGGUGCUGAGGAGGUUGAGGACCAGCGGUUGAGGCCCCAGACCCCUGAGGGCUCUGAUGAUGAGAGUGACAUCCCAGUGAUCCCAGAUCUGGAUGAAGUACAGGAAGAGGACCUCACUAUGCAAGUGGCAGCUCCUCCAAGUAUCCAGGUGAACAGAGUGAUGACUUACAGAGACCUGGACAAUGACCUUAUGAAGUACUCUGCAUUUCAGACUUUGGAUGGCGAGAUUGACCUGAAGCUCCUCACUAAGGUUUUAGCACCAGAGCAGGAGGUGAGAGAGGAGGAUGUUGUGUGGGACUGGGACCAUCUAUUUACGGAGGUGUCCUCCGAGCUCCAGACGGAAUGGGAGCAAGGAGAGAGAGAGGACCAUUCUCCCAUUCCUGUGGCUAGAGGAUAGAUGACUUCCAGUGAAAGGCCAAUGCUGAGCCACAUUGGCCAUGUGCUACUCUCUAUUCAUCCCAGGUGGGCCUGGACACAAACGAACAGGCUGACGGCACCUCCGAAUGCCCCUGGGCUUCUUCUCCGUGUCAUGUUGUCACAGGUCUGCGAGGGAGUGAAGGAGGCAGCAGGGGGCAGCGAUUGGUGUGCACUGAAAGUACAAAAUAAUUUAGCGAGAAACACCGGACUUUUAGACAUAGACUGCACUCAUUAGAAUAAUUAUUUUUCUUGCUUCUGCUUCUGUGAGCUUCUGCUAAGCCUCAUCUAAGGUGGGUGUGAAAGCAGCAGUAUUUGUGAGUGUGUGUGUAGAUGUGGAACAUGAAAUACAGUCAGGA